UUCUCGUCCGAUGACUUCAUAUGCCUAUUUAUAUUAUGAAGUCAUUACAGCUCGGACAUUCUAGGGGCCUAUUUCCUAUGAUCUCGAAGCAGAUCUGUACGUCUAUCCGUCUUCAUGCAGGAAGUUAUUUUCUGGAAAAGACCACCGGUGUUGGCUGGAUUUCGACUUAGUGAAGGUCGGUAUAUGUUAACGUGCUAUUGCAGUUCAUUCAGAUAUUGGUUUUUUGUUGUUUCAGAUAUCUGUUGGAACUGGUAAAGGGGAGUUGUACAUAGAUUAAUGAUAAUUUUUACAUCUGAAGUUAUAUGACUUUUCAGUUUCAGUAUCACAUUAACAUCUUAUGGAGUGUAG
rnacentral:misc_RNA from 1 species